UUAAUAACCAGUCCGCAACGGCGAUUCAUCAAUCCUCGCCUUCUCUCCGCGCCGCGACGCUACCCCGCCCCAUCCGCCAGGCCGUCGCCGCCAGCAGUCUCCCCACCCUCGACCCGCUCCGCCGUCGCGCUUCCGGAGGAGGCAGAUAGGAGAAGGUGAUCGGCUGCGAUGGCCCGCUUGUACGUCGGGAACCUGGAUCCUCGGGUGACGGCACGGGAGCUCGAGGACGAGUUCCGCACCUUUGGAGUUCUUCGGAGUGUUUGGGUUGCUCGGAAACCACCUGGCUUUGCAUUUAUUGAUUUUGAUGACAAGAGGGAUGCUGAGGAUGCAAUCCGUGAUCUUGAUGGCAAGAAUGGAUGGAGAGUUGAGCUAUCACGUAGUGCCAGCAGUGGUCGUGGUGGUCGUGAUCGGUAUGGUGGGUCUGAGUCUAAGUGCUACGAGUGUGGUGAGACUGGGCACUUUGCUCGUGAGUGUCGUUUGAGGAUUGGUUCUGGAGGUCUAGGCAGUGGAAGGCGCCGAAGCAGGAGCCGCAGCCGCAGCCGCAGCCCCAGAUACCGACGGAGUCCAAGUUAUGGAAGAAGAAGCUACAGUCCUGCAACACGCUCUCCAAGGCGUCGUAGCGUGUCACCAGCCCCAGCUCGUGGACGCAGCUAUAGCAGGUCACCACACCGUGCACGGGAGACGUCUCCUAACGGAUACCGCCGCAGCAGGAGCUAGAGCCAGAUAUUUGUCUGUGACAGAUAUUGCUCUUUGGCCCAUCAUCUAUGAUCAAUAACCUACUUGAAAGAUCCAUCGCAGACUGCUUGACUUUUGGUUAAGGCAUCGUCCUGCACUGCUUAAACGACUCGGCCGACUACGGCUCAGUAAUGUCUUCAUGGUUUUGUUCUGCGCUCUUCAUUCUUCGCACGCCCUCGCAUGCUUCAUUCAGACAAAUGCUGCAUGUUAUCUGCCUACAGCUCCUCUUCGUGAUCCAUUUGCCUCGUUGAAGAUGCUGCGCAUCGCAAAGCAGUAAUGAUCUUCCUUCUCAUACCAUUUGGUAAGGUUUGAUUGUGCUGACAAAUGCAGCAUCUGGUAAGUUUCUCCGUAGGCUGGGUCACCGUAAACCGCUCCUGAUUCAGGAACUGCAGUGUUUAGAUGGAUGACUCACCUGCGCAUCACUUGCUUCAGAGAACCAAGGUAAGUGAGUGCCAGAAAGUUAACUGACCAGGCCGAGUGCUACAUUGAGUCGACUUCUGGCUUUGCUCCACGUUUGCCACUUGCCACCACACGUUGCCUGCCUUCAACAGAGGAAGACUGUUGCAUUCAGCAAAAGAAGUCUUCCUCGCCUUCUGCCUCCGUCACUGCACCCUGAUUGACAUUCUUCAUAGAUGCCUUCUACGAGCGCCUUCUGAUUGAUGUUCUUCAUUAGAGCCCGCGGUGAAGCUGAAUCCUACGCCCAUCAUAUGCUGUCAUUUUGUGGUUAUUUUUGCAGAUAAUAUAUUAUCUUUAGCUUCUAAUCCUGUUGGAUAGGUUAAAUGUUGGGACUAAAGAUGGUAGAAUAUCGGAUGCUAUUGGAUAUCUAUACAAAUGGUAGAUACAUACAUUCUGGUAACCAUCAGUUUGACAGUUUGAUAACUGUCUGCGCCCUGAAUUCGGACCGCGCAGCUCAUGGUUGCUAUCUGCGCUUCCAUGUUUCUUA